AUUGAACGCUGGCGGCAUGCCUAACACAUGCAAGUCGAGCGGAUGAACGGAGCUUGCUCCUGUCUUCAGCGGCGGGCGGGCGAGUAAUGCCUACGGAGCUAACUGGUAGAUGGGACUAACGUCAGGUCACGGGACCUAAUCCCACAUACGUCAUGAGGGUGAAACUGAGGGAUCAUCGGUCCAAGAGCUAUCUGAUGACCCUAGGCCGCAUUAGCUAGUUGGUUUGGUAAAGGCCUACCAAGGCGACGAUCCGUAACUGCUCUGAGAGGGUGAUCAGUCACACUGGAACUGAGACACGGUCCAGACUCCUACGGGAGGCAGCAGUAGGGAAUCUUGCGCAAUGGGCGAAAGCCUGACGGAGCCAUGCCGCGUGUGUGAAGAAGGUCUUCGGAUCGUAAAGCUCUGUAAUUAGGGAAGAACAACAGUGAGUUUAAAUCUGGCUGUUUUGACGGUACCAACAGAAAAAGCAACGGCUAACUUCGUG
rnacentral:rRNA from 1 species